GGCACUGCAGCCAAGGAUCCAGAUCUCUUCUUCUCUUCCUCUCCCACCUUCAAACAAGUCAGCAAAAAUCUACUUCAUCUCCAUCAGGUAUUUGACGUAGGAUGGCCUUGGUCACCACUGCUGAAGUUUGCGAUGCAAAUCCACAGCUUAUUGUGAGUGGUGAACUACGGGCACUGCAGCCAAUCUUCAAAAUAUAUGGCAGGCGCCAAGUCUUCUCUGGACCUGUUGUCACUCUGAAAGUAUUCGAAGACAAUGUUUUGGUUCGUGAGUUUCUCGAGGAGAAAGGCAACGGUAGAGUUCUCGUUGUAGACGGGGGUGGUAGUCUAAGAUGUGCGAUUUUGGGUGGCAACCCUGUAGUACAAGCUCAAAACAACGGAUGGGCUGGGAUCGUAGUAAAUGGCUGUGUAAGGGACGUGGACGAAAUCAAUGGCUGUGAUAUCGGAGUCAGAGCUCUGGCUUCACAUCCAAUGAAAGCAAAUAAGAAAGGUAUUGGGGAGAAGCACGUUCCCAUAACCAUUGCCGGGACUAGAAUCUGCGAUGGUGAGUGGCUUUAUGCAGAUACCGAUGGCAUUCUGAUUUCUAAAAUGGAGCUAUGUGUUUGAGAACAUAUAUCCACCAUGCCUUAAGUAAGUGCAUAUCAAUUAUGAACUUAUUUUUAUGGAGCUUAUAUUGCCAUAACUACUGCUUUAUAUGUUAUGGGAAUCGCAAGCUUCAUUAUUAAUCUAUUGUAUGUUGUAAGUCAAAACUCGUCGUGAACACGUUUUUUU
rnacentral:misc_RNA from 1 species